UGUGAUUUCUUGCAUUGUUUAUCUCCUGUGUCUUCUCUCAGUUUUUGGUUAAGCUCGGCCAUAUUAAUUAAUAGUUAAGUACCCUUUGACGUCUGUAUUGGUAUAUCCAAAUGAGGCGCUCUGGGUCACCUGUGCAUACGUUCCCAUAGAUAAUUGGAACAAUAGUUUUUUUCUCAUCUCACUUCCAGUUCAUUAAUUCUCUUCUUACUGAGUCUAAUCUCCUGUUUUAGCAAACCAUUAACAAUUUUUAUUUCAAUUUAUUAUAUUUGUUAUUUCUAGAAGCCUGUUCAUUUUCUUUAAAUUGCUUAAUCAUUUUAUAGUCUCAUUUCUAUCAUCCUUCUUCUGAGGAUUCAGGUGUUUUUUUUUUAACAAAAUAAACAUUCUGUUUCACAAUAGUGUCUGAUAUUUUCACAGGUGAAAUCUUUGACAGUCUUAUUCUUCCAUCCUCUAAUCCUGACGUAUUUCAUCUUUUGUGCCUUUUUUUGUUGGCAUUUCUUGCAAACUCCUUUUAAAUGUGUUUCUCAUUAUUUUCCUUGGAAACUUUACCAGUAGGAAUUCCUGGAGACCUAGGUUAAAGUUGUGUUCCCUCAGAGAGGUCUCCCGUAUGCUUCUGCCAGUUGCCUGGUGGUACUACCCAUCUGGAGAUCACUUAAAAUUCAAUUCUCCACUUGAAUUUCAAUUUUAACAUGCAGGUGGACUCAGAAAAUAUUUUGCCAGAAGGAGCAAGUUUGUUAUUUGAUACAUAGAGCAUCAGAGAGAAAGGGAGAGAGAGUGAGAGAUAGAAACACCAAUGACAAG